rnacentral:rRNA from 1 species
GAUGUUCUAACGUGGACCCGUAAUCCGGGUUGCGGACAGUGUCUGGUGGGUAGUUUGACUGGGGCGGUCUCCUCCUAAAGAGUAACGGAGGAGCACGAAGGUUGGCUAAUCCUGGUCGGACAUCAGGAGGUUAGUGCAAUGGCAUAAGCCAGCUUGACUGCGAGCGUGACGGCGCGAGCAGGUGCGAAAGCAGGUCAUAGUGAUCCGGUGGUUCUGAAUGGAAGGGCCAUCGCUCAACGGAUAAAAGGUACUCCGGGGAUAACAGGCUGAUACCGCCCAAGAGUUCAUAUCGACGGCGGUGUUUGGCACCUCGAUGUCGGCUCAUCACAUCCUGGGGCUGAAGUAGGUCCCAAGGGUAUGGCUGUUCGCCAUUUAAAGUGGUACGCGAGCUGGGUUUAGAACGUCGUGAGACAGUUCGGUCCCUAUCUGCCGUGGGCGCUGGAGAACUGAGGGGGGCUGCUCCUAGUACGAGAGGACCGGAGUGGACGCAUCACUGGUGUUCGGGUUGUCAUGCCAAUGGCACUGCCCGGUAGCUAAAUGCGGAAGAGAUAAGUGCUGAAAGCAUCUAAGCACGAAACUUGCCCCGAGAUGAGUUCUCCCUGAGACUUAGAGUCUCCUGAAGGAACGUUGAAGACGACGACGUUGAUAGGCCGGGUGUGUAAGCGCAGCGAUGCGUUGAGCUAACCGGUACUAAUGAACCGUGAGGCUUAACCUUACA